rnacentral:lncRNA from 1 species
AUGAAGAUCAGGCUGUCUUUGGCUGCCGCUGCACUCUUUACUAUAUUACUGAAUUCAGUAGAGGCUCAAGUGGAGCCUCCUUCAGACUUGAAAUUUAAAAUCUUAAAUGAAAACACAGUGCAUAUGUCAUGGAGGAGGCCUUCGUCUCAGAUACAGGGCUACAGAAUACAAGUCAUAUCAGAUACAGAUUAUUUGAAAGAUUUCAGUCUUCCUGCCUCGGUCACAAACACAUCAAUCACGGAUUUAACUCCAGAUGUAGACUAUUCAGUGUCUAUCAAUUCAUAUGAUGGUGCGGAAGAAAGUAUCCCUAUCCUUGGACAAAUAACAAUAGACUCUUAUAUGGCUUUCUCUCAUGCCUCUUCAUUUCCUCGUCAUGCAGAGUGUUCAGUGAGUGCUAUCGCGGAUCUGGUUUUCCUGGUGGAUGGCUCUUGGAGCGUGGGAAGAGAAAACUUUAAAUUCAUCCGGAGUUUCAUUGGGGCCAUGGCGGGAGCUUUUGACAUUGGAGAGGAUAAGACCAGAGUGGCUGUGGUGCAGUACAGCUCAGAUACCAGGACAGAGUUCAACCUGAACCAGUAUUACAGGCGGCCUGAUGUCCUGCGAGCCAUUAAAAAUCUGCCCUACAAGGGUGGUAACACCAUGACAGGUGAUGCAAUGGACUAUCUGGUGAAAAACACUUUCACUGCGGCGGCUGGAGCCAGGAAAGGCUUUCCAAAAGUAGCCAUGAUCAUCACGGAUGGAAAGUCACAAGACCCAGUAGGGGAGUACGCAGAACGCCUGAGGAACAUUGGAGUAGAGAUCUUUGUCCUGGGUAUCAAAGGAGCAGAUGAGGAUGAGUUAAAGGAGAUAGCCUCCACUCCCCACAGCAAGCAUAUCUAUAAUGUCCCAAACUUCGACAUGAUCAAUCAGUUGCAGCUGGAGCUCAUCACGCAGGUGUGCUCUGGUGUGGAGGAGCAGCUAAAUUUGCUUGCAAGCGGAGAGGAAGUUGUUGAACCAGCUUCAGACCUCAGAGUAACUGACGUCUCCUCCAAAUCCAUGAGAAUUAGGUGGGAUUCGUCUCCUGGUGACAUCACAGGCUAUAAGCUGCAGGUCUUCCCCAUGAUUGCUGGCGCCAAGAAGCAGGAGCUCUACACAGGGCCCACAUUCACCGUGGCCAAUGUCAGAGACCUGUCUCCUGAGACAGAGUAUGAGAUCAGUCUGUUUGCCCUCAAAGGUCUGACUCCUAGUAAGCCACAAGUUGUCAACGAGAAAACACAGCCUGUGAAGGUGUCUACAGAGUGCUCCCAAGAGGUCGAGGUCCAAGCUGAUAUUGUCCUCCUGGUCGAUGGCUCGUACAGUAUAGGACUGUCUAACUUUGCUAAAGUUAGAGCCUUCCUUGAAGUGCUCGUCAAUUCUUUUGACAUCGGACCCAACAAAGUGCAGAUCAGCUUGGUUCAGUACAGCCGGGAUCCACACACUGAGUUUGCCCUGAACAAGCACGAUGACAAUGCAGCUGUGCUCAAUGCAGUCCGCACCUUCCCCUACCGUGGAGGCUCCACCAACACUGGCAAGGCCAUGACCUACGUAAGGGAAAAGAUCUUCAUUCCAGCCCGUGGCGCUCGUGAUAACGUGCCCCGAGUCAUGGUGCUCAUCACAGAUGGUAAAUCCUCGGAUUCUUUCAAAAACCCUGCCAACAAACUAAGGGAUGCAGACGUGGAGAUUUUCGCCGUGGGAGUCAAGGACGCCGUGCGCUCCGAGCUGGAGGCGAUUGCCAACGCACCUGCUGAUAACCAUGUGUUUGAGGUGGAAGACUUUGAUUCCUUUCAGCGGAUCUCCAAGGAACUAACCACAUCCAUCUGUCUAAGAAUUGAGCAGGAGCUCCAUAACAUCAAGAAAAGAAGUUUGGUUCCACCAAAGUCGCUAAGCUUCUCUGAGGUCACCUCCAGAAGCUUCAGGACCUCGUGGAUUUCUGACGGAGAGGAUGUCCUGUCUUUUCUGGUGCGUUUCAGGCCAGCGGCUGACGUAACUGGAGACUACAUCUCUUUGGUGGUUCCUCCUGACACCACCACUACGAUUUUGCCCAAUCUCACGCCCCUGACCACUUACGAGGUUAAUGUCAUCGCCCAGUAUGAUAAAGGAGACAGUUUUCCUUUGACAGGCGAGGAGACGACUUUAGAAGAAUUAGGCUCUGUCCGUAACCUCGUGGUGAGUGAUGAGACCGUAGACAGCUUCCGCGUGUCGUGGAGAGCCGCUCCAGGAGCAGUGCUGAGGUACAGACUGUUGUAUGAGCCAGUGGGUGGAGGAGAUAAACUGGAAGCACAGACUGAUGGGAGUCAGGUCACCAUUGUGCUCCACGAACUGCUACCCGUCACCACUUACCGUGUCACAGUGUACCCCGAGUAUGCAAGUGGAAUGGGUCCCUCCAUGGACACUGAGGGCACCACCAAAGAAGUCCGGGGCUCUCCACGUGACCUGAGGGUCUUCAACGAGACCGUGUCCAGCAUGAGGGUCUCAUGGCGGGCCGCUCCAGGCAAUGUGCUGCAAUAUCAAGUGGCCUACAAACCUGAUGGUGGGGAAAGAAAAGAAAUGUUUGUUAAAGGAGACGCAACAACGGCUUUGCUGAGAAAUCUGUCACCAGACACCGAGUAUGAGAUCUUCGUUAGUGCCCGUUACACCUCUGGCCUCGGAGCGCCACUGAUGGGAACAGGCACUACUCUGGAAGAACUCGGCUCACCUACGAAUCUGGUUACUUCAGAUGUCACUGAGAGCAGUUUUGUGGCAUCCUGGACUGCCGCCCCUGGCAACGUCCGCCUUUAUCGGGUCACCUGGAAAUCCCUCUUUUCAGAGGAAGCUGGCGAGAAAACCGUCCCCGGGGACAUAACCACCACUGUUCUGGACGGACUGACUCCGGAGACCCGCUACAAGGUUUCUGUCUACGCUGCCUACAGCAGUAAGGAGGGAGAGCCACUCCAUGGAGAGGAGACCACAGAUGGUAAAGUUCUUACGGUUUCAGAAGAAACAGAGAGGACCAUACGAGUAACAUGGCAGCCAGCACCUGGCAAUGUUGUCAAUUAUAGGGUAUCGAAUAAACCUCAGGGUNNNNNNNNNNNNNNNNNNNNNNNNNNNNNNNNNNNNNNNNNNNNNNNNNNNNNNNNNNNNNNNNNNNNNNNNNNNNNNNNNNNNNNNNNNNNNNNNNNNNNNNNNNNNNNNNCUUCUCUCUUGCAUUUUUCUUAUAUAUAUAUAUAUAUAUAUAUAUAUAUGUAUAUGUGUGUGUGUAUAUAUGUAUAUACUGUAUAUAUGUGUGUGUAUAUAUUGAGUGUGUUUGGUAUGUUUGAUGGAGGAGAGAGUAUGCCACUGGCUGGAGAGGAGAAGACCACCCUCUCUGACGCCCCUGAACCCCCACCCUUUGAUAUUUCAGAGGUAAUGUGCAAAACCACAGCCCAGGCCGAUAUCAUCCUGCUUGUUGAUGGAUCUUGGAGCAUUGGUCGUCUGAACUUCAAGACUAUAAGGUCUUUCAUUGCUCGCAUGGUGGGUGUCUUUGACAUCGGGCCGGAUCGUGUCCAGAUCGGUCUGGCACAAUACAGUGGAGACCCAAAGACUGAGUGGCACCUAAACUCUCACAGGACCAGAAAAGAGCUGCUGGAUGCCGUGGCCAAUCUACCCUACAAAGGAGGAAACACUCUGACUGGCCUUGCUUUAAACUACAUCCUUCAGAACAAUUUCAAGGCUAAUGUUGGAAUGCGUCCGAACUCUCGGAAGAUCGGCGUCCUGGUUACUGAUGGCAAGUCUCAGGAUGACAUCAUGGUCAACUCUCAGAACCUACGCGACCAGGGCAUUGAGCUGUAUGCCAUUGGUGUGAAGAACGCAGAUGAGAAUGAGCUGAGAUCCAUUGCUUCAGAUCCCGAUGACAUCCACAUGUACAAUGUGGCUGACUUCUCCUUCCUGCUGGACAUCGUGGACGACCUGACAAACAACCUAUGUAACAGUGUCAAGGGUCCAGGUAUCACUGAGCCACCCACUGAUCUAACGACCUCAGAAGUGACCCAUUACUCCUUCCGCGCCACCUGGGUUGCCCCUGAUGGACCCGUGGAGAAGUACAGAAUAGAGUAUGUGAGCAUCGCAGGAGGAGAACCACAAAAGUUGCUUGUCGACGGGACGGUGACGACUGUGGUCUUGGAGAAUCUCACUCCGCUGACGGAGUACAUCGUGAAGGUUCACUCAGUGGUGGGAGAGGACAGCAGCGACCCCCUCAAAGGCUCAGAGACGACAUUUACUGACGUCCAGCUGAAGAAACUUCGUCCCAACACGGCCUUCAGAGUUUCCGUCUUCGCCCUGUUCGGCGAUUUUGGCUUUCUUCCCCUCAGCAGGGAUUUGAGGAUCACAGACGUUACCCACAGCACCAUGCAGCUGGACUGGGAUCCAUCGCCCGGUGCCGUUCGUAAAUACAUAAUCACUUACAAGCCAGAGGAUGGAGAGUCGAAGGAGCUUGAAGUUGACGGAGAUGUAAUGUCUAGAGGACUGGAUAAUCUCAUUUCCCAAACGGAAUACGAUGUGGCUGUCACUCCUGUGUAUGAUUCUGGGACCGGAAACCCAAUGCUUAACCAAGCCAUUACAGACGUUGUCCCUGCCCCGAAGAAUUUGAGGUUCUCUCAAGUGACCCAGACCAGUUUCAGGGCUCACUGGGAGCACGGCGCUCCUGAUGUCUCCCUCUACCGCGUCGGCUGGACCAAGAGUGGAGAGAACAACUUUCAAUAUGACACCACUCUCCUUCUGGAGAACCUGGAGCCAGACACCCUCUAUGAUGUUUCUGUCACUGCCAUUUACCCCGAUGAAUCUGAGAGCGAAGAUCUUCUGGGCAGCCAACGCACAUCUCCUAGUGGACCUCCUCAGAACCUCCAGGUGUUCAAUGCGACUACCACCUCCCUCACCACCAAGUGGGAUCACGCUCCUGGACGAGUGCAGAACUACAGGAUCACCUACGUACCGGUUGCAGGAGGAAGAUCACAGUCGACACAGAUUGGAGGGAAGAAAAACACAGUUAAUCUGCAGAAACUGACUCCAGACACUCCCUACUACAUCACAGUUGCUGCAGUCUAUGCGAAUGGAGAUGCCAAAGACAUUUCUGGCCAAGGAAAGACAUUACCACUGGGCAGUGUGAGAAACCUUCAGGUCACGGACCCCACGGUCAGCACUCUGAAUGUACGCUGGGAGCCGGCUGAAGGGAGCGUACGGCAAUACAGGAUUUACUACCAGACCGUCACAGGGGGCGCAGAAGACAUGGUCCAGGUUCCUGGAAGCACCACCAGUACAGUUCUGAAGAACCUGCAGUCUGAUACUGAGUACACAGUAACAGUGGUGCCAGUAUACGCUCCUGGAGAGGGCAAGCGCAUGUCGGAGAACGGAAAAACCUUGACGCGUACCCCUGCCAAGAACAUCCGGGUUUACAACCCCACCACAAACACCCUGAAUGUGCGCUGGGAGCCGGCCUCCGGAGAUGUGCUGCAGUACCGCGUCGCCUACACCCCCCUCUCUGGAACCCGUUCCGCUCAAUCUGUGCUCGUUCCAGGGAACACCCACACUGCCUUGCUGCAGCAGCUCGAUUCAGACACAGACUAUGCUGUGAGUGUGGUGGCUCUGUAUGCUGACGGCGAGGGCUCCUCUGUGUCAGAUAAUGGAAAAACAAUGCCCCGCGGCGGCCCUAGGAACCUGCGUGUGUAUGAUCCGACCACCAGCACGCUGUCUGUCAGCUGGGAGCAUGCAGAAGGACCCGUGCUGCAGUACCGCAUUGGCUAUGCACCCACCACUGGAGAUCCCAUUGAGGAGUUUACAAGUGUCCCUGGCAACAGGAACUCUGUCAUCUUGCAAAACCUGCAGCCAGACACUCCGUACAACAUCAACGUAGAGGCUAUUUAUCAAGAUGGGCCUGGAGGACAACUGUCUGGAGAUGGAAAAACAUUGGGUCUCUUGGAGCCUCGUAACCUGCGUGUUUCUGAUGAGUGGUACACUCGUUUCCGAGUGUCCUGGGAUCCUGUACCUGCGCGGGUCAACGGUUAUAAUCUGGUCUAUACCCCAGUGGGCACGGAUAACACCAUGGAAGUGUUUGUUGGAGAUGUUACUACACACAUCCUGCACAACCUCCAGCCUGGCACCACGUACGACCUGAAGGUUUACGCUCAGUAUGACGCAGGCGUGAGCGGCGCUCUGGUCGGACAAGGAACCACCUUGUACCUUAAUGUGACUGACCUCACCACAUACAAUGUCGGCUAUGACUCCUUCUGCAUCAGAUGGACGCCUCACCGAGCCGCCACCUCUUACAGGCUAAAACUCAAUCCUUUCAAUUCGGCUAACCGUGGGGCUCAGGAGGUCACUAUCACUGCCGCUGAGAGCCAGUACUGUUUUGAUGGGCUGACGCCAGACGCGCUGUACAACGCCACAGUCUACACACAGACCCCCAACCAGGAGGGGCCCGGAGUCAGUGUCAAAGAGCGCACACUGGUGAAGCCCACCGUAGCCCCAACACCACCUCCAACUCCUCCACCACCACCCACCAUCCCUGCUGCACUCGAGGUGUGCAAAGGAGCCAAGGCUGACCUGGUGUUCCUGAUCGACGGCUCGUGGAGCAUUGGAGAUGACAGCUUCAUUAAAGUCCGUCAGUUUCUCUUCAGCAUGAUCGGAGCAUUUGAUGUCAUCAACCGUGAUGGCAUGCAGGUGUCUUUUGUGCAGUACAGUGAUGAAGCUAAAACUGAGUUCAAACUGAACACCUACCACGACAAGGGAAUGGUGCUGUCCGCCCUUCAGAUGGUCAAAUACAGAGGAGGAAACACCAAAACAGGUGCUGCGCUGAAGCAUAUCGGAGACAAAGUGUUCACAUCAGACAGUGGUAUGAGGAGAACCGUUCCCAAGGUUCUGGUCGUAGUAACUGACGGCCGUUCUCAAGAUGAUGUGAAGAAGAGUGCUGCUAAACUACAGCAUGCAGGCUUCAGUGUGUUUGUGGUGGGUGUCGCAGACGUAGACACCGCUGAACUCAGGAACAUUGGAAGCAAGCCCAGCGAGAGACACGUCUUCAUCGUUGAUGACUUUGACGCGUUUACUAAGAUCCAAGACAACCUCAUUACAUUCAUCUGUGAAACGGCAACAUCCACUUGUCCUUUGAUUUACCUCGACGGAUUCACAUCCCCAGGCUUCAGGAUGCUGGAAGCCUUUAACAUCACUGACAAGACGUUUGCUGGCAUGAACGGCGUCUCCAUGGAGUCUGGCUCCUUCAACAGUUACAUUGCAUACAGACUCCAUAAGGAUGCAUUCAUUUCCCAGCCCACAAAGGAAAUCCAUCCAGAUGGUCUUCCUCCCGCAUACACUCUGAUUCUCCUCUUCCGUCUCCUCCCCGACACCGGCAAGGAUGCAUUUGAUAUUUGGCAGAUAUCAGAUAAGAACAACAACCCUGAGGUCGGGCUCACCAUUGACCCCUCCAGUAGAAUCAUCUCAUUCUACAAUAAGGACUCCAGAGGUGAAAUUCAGAAAGUCUCCUUUGAUAACGACCGAGUGAAGAAAGUUUUCCACGGCAGUUUCCACAAGCUUCACAUUUCUAUUUCACCGAAAAAUGUCAAACUCAACAUUGACUGCCAAGAGGUGGCUGAGAAAGAGAUCAAAGAGGCCAACAACAUAUCCACAGAUGGCUAUGAAGUCCUUGGAAAAAUGGCAAAGUCUGGCGGUUCAAGGAAGCAGUCAGCCACAUUCCAGCUCCAGAUGUUUGAUAUUGUCUGCAGUUUGGGCUGGACAAGUCGAGACAAAUGUUGUGAUAUUCCAGCAAUGAGAGAUGAAGCCAAAUGUCCCGCUCUUCCUCACUCCUGCACAUGUGCUCAGGACAGCGUUGGUCCUCCAGGCCCCGCGGGCCCUCCGGUAAGAUCAUUAGAGUCCCAUGACAUUUCCUCUGGUUCAAUGGGCCCACGUGGGGAGCAGGGUCUGCCAGGACAAAUGGGACCACCAGGUCCACAGGGCCCUAAUGGACUGUCUCUUCCUGGUGAACCAGUAAGUAAAGCACAAAACUCUGUCCAUUGCCAUUUGUCAAAUUUGUAUCGCCCCUUACAGAAUAUAAUUAAUACUGCGUCACAGAAUAUGAUGCGCUCUGUAGCAAGACAAGUCUGCGAACAACUAGUCAGCAGUAAGGCACUUCAAAAUAAUAACAAAAAAUAUUCCAGUCACUGUUGCGUCAAGCGAAGUAAAGGAUGCUUUCUUACACCUCCUCUCUUUCCAGGGCCACCGGGGCAGUCUCAGAUAGGACCCCCUGGUCCCUCAGGCUCAGCGGGGCCCCGGGGCCCACCAGGGCAGCAGGGUGGACCCGGAGUCAGAGGACCACCAGGACCUCCAGGAUACUGUGACUCCUCUCAGUGUGUAGGCAUCCCUUACAAUGGACAGGGUUACCCAGGUAAGCACAGUACAGUUGAGUGA